ensembl:snRNA U6 U6 spliceosomal RNA
UUGCUUUAACUGCACAUAUACUGAAAUUGGAAUGAUAUAGAGAUGAUUAGCAUGGCGCUCUGUAAGGAUGAUAGACUCGUGAAGUGUUCCACAUUAAAUUUUU